rnacentral:tRNA from 44 species
GCCCAAGUGGCGGAAUGGUAGACGCAGGGGAUUCAAAAUCCCCCGCUGGUGACAGCGUGCCGGUUCGAGUCCGGCCUUGGGUACCA